rnacentral:lncRNA from 1 species
AUGUGUGCAUGCAUGUGUAUGCAUGUGUUCACGUAUCUCUGUGUGAGUGCACCUGUGUGGGCACACAUGUGUGUUUGUGUGUAUAAAUGUGUGGUGCAUGAGUGUAUGUGUAUGCAUGUGUGCAUGUGUGUACAUGUGUGUCUGUGUGUGCAUCUGUGUAUCUGUGUCUGUGUGUGUGCAUGUGCGUCUGUGUGUCUGUGUGUGUAUGUGUCUGUGUAUGUGUGUGUGCAUGUGUCUGUGUCUAUGUAUGUGUGUGUGCAUGUGUGUCUGUGUGUAUCUGUGUCUCUGUGUGUAUCUGUGUGUAUGUGUCUGUGUGUGUGUCUAUGUAUGUGUGUGUGUCUGUGUGUAUCUGUGUCUGUGUGUGUGUAUCUGUGUGUGUAUGCGUCUGUGUGUGUGUCUAUGUAUGUGUGUGUCUGUCUAUGUGUGUGUGCAUGUGUGUGUGUCUGUGUGUGUGUCCGUGUCUGUGUGUGUCUAUCUGUGUCUGUGUGUUCGUCUCUGUGUGUGUCUGUGUCUAUGUAUGUGUGUGCAUGUGUGUCUGUGUCUGUGUGUGUGUAUCUGUAUCUGUGUGUGUGUCUGUGUGUCUGUGUCUGUGUGUGUAUCUGUGUCUGUGUGUGGUGUGUGUGUGUGUGUGUCUGUGUCUGUGUGUGUCUGUGUAUGUGUGUGUGCAUGUGUCUGUGUGUCUGUGUGUCUGUCUAUGUAUGUGUGUGUGCAUGUGUGGGUGUCUGUAUGUGUGUCUGUGUGUGUCUGUGUGUGUAUCCAUGUGUGUAUCUCUGUGUGUGCGUCUGUGUCUAUGUAUGUGUGUGUGCAUGUGUGUCUGUGUGUAUCUGUGUCUCUGUGUGUAUCUGUGUGUGUAUGUGUCUGUGUGUGUGUCUAUGUAUGUGUGUGUGUCUGUGUGUAUCUGUGUCUGUGUGUGUGGUGUGUGUGUCUCUGUGUGUGUAUCUGUGUGUGUGUCUCUGUGUGUGGUGUGUGUCUAUGUGGUGUGUGUGUGUCUCUGUGGUGUGUGUGUGUCUGUGUGUGUAUGUGUGUGUGUCUCUGUGUGUGUGUCCGUGUGUGUGGUGUGUGUCUGUGUAUGUGUGUGUGUAUGUGUGUGUCUGUGUGUGUGUGUCUGUGUCUGUGUGUGUGUCUAUGUAUGUGUAUAUGCAUGUGUGUGUGUCUCUGUGUGUAUCAGUGUGGUGUGUGUGUGUAUCUGUGUGUGUGUGUGUCUCCGUGUGUGGUGUAUGUGUGUCUGUGUGGUGUAUGUGUCUCUGUGUGGUGUGUGUGUGUCUCUGUGUGUGGUGUGUGUGUAUAGGGCAUUGCUUUAAGCCCUGA